GGCCGCGGUCCACUGCGCUUGGCUGGGCCGAGGGAAAUACAGGGGGGUGGGGUGUGGGCCUCCGGGCCAAAACCAAAGGGGAGGGUUGUUCUUCUUUUUUUUUCAUUUUCACUUUUUAAACAAACCUUUUUCAAAACAUUUUCAAAACCAAAUUUAAAUUCCUUUUUAACUUUAGUCAAAACCACUCAUCACAAUAAAUCAAAUGCAAAGUCAUGCAUGCUCAAACAAGUUGCUAGAUCCUAUGGUAAAUUUUAAUUUAAAGAAAAAUAUUAUUUUUCCUAUAUUUCAUGGGUACAAAAAUACACAAGUUAACAAUUUAUCCUAUUUUGGAAAAUUGCAAAUUUUGGGGUGUUACAAUUCUACCCCCCUUAAAAUGAAUCUCGUCCUCGAGAUUCGGUUGGUGCUUUCUCAAACUAAUGCGGAU
rnacentral:lncRNA from 1 species